GCAAACUUGGUCAUUUAGAGGAAGUAAAAGUCGUAACAAGGUUUCCGUAGGUGAACCUGCGGAAGGAUCAACAUUGAAUUUUAUAAAAAAAAAAACCUUUCAAGCUUUUUAGGGGAGGGGGGGAGGAAAGUAAUUUCUUCUCUUUUUUUCCUUCUGGCUUGCAAACAACUUUGAUACCCAAAAAGAAAGAGAGAGAAAAAGAGUUUCAUCUUCAGUCCUUUUUUUGACUUGAGCUUAAUAUUUGCUUAGGUUGAUUGGAGGGGUUGUUGAAGUGAUGUCUCAGUUUCUUGAACAACAACACACAUGGUUGCCUGAUAAAAAAGAGUUUGGUUUUUGGGAAUGGAAAAGAAACAACUUUCAACAACGGAUCUCUUGGCUCUCACAUCGAUGAAGAACGCAGC
rnacentral:misc_RNA from 1 species